GACGAACGCUGGCGGCAGGCCUACCACAUGCAAGUCGAGCGGAGCGGCGGACGGGUGAGUAAUGCCUAGGAAUCUGCCUGGUAGUGGGGGCUCACGUCCGGCAACGGGCGCUAAUACCGCAUCCUAUCAGAUGAGCCUAGGUCGGAUUCGCUAGUUGGUGGGGUAAAGGCCUACCAAGGCGACGAUCCGUAACGUGUCUGAGAGGAUGAUCAGUCACACUGGAACGGAGACAAGGUCCAGACUCCUACGGGAGGCAGCAGUGGGGAAUAUUGGACAAUGGGCGAAAGCCUGAUCCAGCCAUGCCGCGUGUGUGAAGAAGGUCUUCGGAUUGUAAAUCACUUUAAGUUGGGAGGCGUUACCAACAGAAUAAGCACCGGCUAACUUCGUGCCAGCAGCCGCGGUAAGAC
rnacentral:rRNA from 1 species